AACGAACGCUGGCGGCAUGCCUAACACAUGCAAGUCGAACGAUUGCCUUCGGGUGAUGGUGGCGCACGGGUGCGUAACGCGGGGGAAUCUGCGCUUAGGUUCGGAAUAACAGCUGGAAACGGCUGCUAAUACCGGAGGAUAUCGCGAGAUCAAAGAUUUAUCGCCUGAGGGUGAGCCCGCGUUGGAUUAGGGAGUGGGUGGGGUAAAGGCCUACCAAGCCGACGAUCCAGAGCUGGUCUGAGAGGAUGAUCAGCCACACUGGGACUGAGACACGGCCCAGACUCCUACGCGAGGGAGCAGUAUGUAAUAUUGUACAAUGGGCGCAAGCCUGGUCCAGCAAUGCCGCGUGAGUGAUGAAGGCCCUAGGGUUGUAAAGCUCUUUUACCCGGGAAGAUAAUGACUGUACCGGGUGAAUAAGCCCCGGCUAACUCCGUG
rnacentral:rRNA from 1 species